GCAGGGCGGGGUCUACCAUGCAGUCGACGAGAAGUACGUAGCAAUACGUAUUGUAAAGUGGCGCACGGGUGAGUAACACGUGGGUAAUCUGCCCUUGAGUUUGGGAUAACCCCGCGAAAGCGGGGCUAAUACCGAAUAAGACCACGGGGACCAAAGUCCCUGAGGUAAAAGGUGGCCUCUAUUUAUAAGCUACCCCUUGAGGAUGAGCCCGCGGCCCAUUAGCUAGUUGGCAGGGUAAUGGCCUACCAAGGCAAUGAUGGGUAGCUGGUCUGAGAGGACGAUCAGCCACACUGGAACUGAGACACGGUCCAGACUCCUACGGGAGGCAGCAGUGGGGAAUAUUGCGCAAUGGGCGAAAGCCUGACGCAGCAACGCCGCGUGGGGGAUGAAGGUUUUCGGAUUGUAAACCCCUUUCGAUCGGAACGAAUCUCCUUCUGGUAAACAAUCAGGAGGGUUGACGGUACCGGGAGAAGAAGCCACGGCUAACUCUGUGCCAGCAGCCGCGGUAAGACAGAGGUGGCGAGCGUUGUUCGGAUUUAUUGGGCGUAAAGCGAACGCAGGUGGUUUGGUAAGUCAGAGGUGAAAGUCCGCAGCUUAACUGCGGCACUGCCUUUGAUACUGCCUUUCUUGAGUGCAUGAGGGGGAAGCGGAAUUCCGAGUGUAGAGGUGAAAUUCGUAGAUAUUCGGAGGAACACCGGUGGCGAAAGCGGCUUCCUGGCAUGUAACUGACACUCAUGUUCGAAAGCGUGGGUAGCAAACAGGAUUAGAUACCCUGAUAGUCCACGCCCUAAACGAUGGGCACUAUGUGUGGGAGGUAUCGACCCCUUCCGUGCCGCAGCUAACGCAUUAAGUGCCCCGCCUGGGGAGUACGGCCGCAAGGUUGAAACUCAAAGGAAUUGACGG
rnacentral:rRNA from 1 species